GCGAACGCUGGCGGCAGGCUUAACCCAUGCAAGUCGAGCGGGCACUUUCGGGUGUCAGCGGCGGACGGGUGAGUAACGCGUGGGAACGUGCCCUCUGGUUCGGAAUAACUCAGGGAAACUUGAGCUAAUACCGGAUACGCCCUUUUGGGGAAAGGCUUGCUGCCGGAGGAUCGGCCCGCGUCUGAUUAGCUAGUUGGUGAGGUAACGGCUCACCAAGGCGACGAUCAGUAGCUGGUCUGAGAGGAUGAUCAGCCACACUGGGACUGAGACACGGCCCAGACUCCUACGGGAGGCAGCAGUGGGGAAUAUUGGACAAUGGGCGCAAGCCUGAUCCAGCCAUGCCGCGUGAGUGAUGAAGGCCUUAGGGUUGUAAAGCUCUUUUAUCCGGGACGAUAAUGACGGUACCGGAGGAAUAAGCCCCGGCUAACUUCGUG
rnacentral:rRNA from 1 species